UCCACACCGAGGAUCCGGGUUCUCCUCCUCCUGAGUCGAUCCUCCUCGACCGAUACGGCUACCUCAGCUGUCGCCUCAACGGCACUACCGCCGAUGGCUUCACGGCGGACGGCAAGAGAAUCCAGGUCACCUUCUGGGCGGCCAGCCCGCCGCGGGUCUCCUGCUUCACUGUCCAUUCCCCCGACGUGAAGCCCUCCGCGUUCGACAGGUUGCCCAAGGUCAUCUACUCGAAGGACGACCUCGUCCUGCUCCGCAUCCCCAUCCUCCGUCAGGACGACAGCCGCGACGCUAAGAGCUGCCACUACUUCGUCUACCAGGCCGGCACCGAGAACAACCGGCCGUCACUUAAGAUGUUACCCAUCCCGUGCGACAUCAAGUUCUCCAACAACGAGGUUGUGCUUUUGCGUUGCCGCGACCAAGAUAUGUUCUACUUCGCCCUGCUUCAUAGGAUCAUCGAUCCUAAGAACAACGGCAAGCGAUUUGAUCUCCACCUGUACAACUCCAAGACAGGUACAUGGAACACUGAGAAUCAGUUUGUUGAUUCAGUGAAUUAUGUGAAUUAUUCAUAUCCAAACAUUGCGGUCACCAUCGGAGGUGAGUUCGGUUCAGUGGGCUGGGUCGAUCUCUGGCGGGGCAUGCUUAUCUGUGACCUUCUCCGGGACAACCAUAGUCUUCGCUAUAUUCCAUUACCAUUGCCACUGGUGCCCAAGCUGCUCAAGGGUUAUCCGAUGUGUUUCCGGGACAUUGUUGUGGUUGGAGAUUGCAUCAAGUAUUUCGAGAUGAGUUACGACGUCAGACCAGGCUCUGGACUCACGUCUGCAACUCAAGAUUUGGUGGCUGCAACAAAGAAAAUGAAAAUUUCAGAUAUUGGUUCUGGGAACAACUGGGAAGAGGACUGCACUUUCAAAUUUUCUGACAUCCCAGUGGACAGCCCCAAGUUUGCUCGAAUGCUGAUGCUGCCUAAUCUGAAACAGGUUAAAAAUACAAAGCUAACCUUGAUGAGAGACUGUGCGGGUUACCCUGCUCUGAGCUUGCAUGAUGCUGAUGUUGUUUACAUCAUGCACACACCUGAUCGCGAUGAGGACAAGGCAUUGGUGAUUGCACUUGAUAUGAGAAAAAAGACUCUAAAAGAUGUGGCUGAUUUUGGCUCUGGAAGGCCUCUGGGUUACACUUUCACCUACCUUCAAAGUGGGAUCUCCAAGCAUCUGAACAUUUGGUCCUCCUCCAGGUAAUUUUGCUUGCAUUCUCUGUUUUGGACCAACAUGGUACAUAUAAACUAAAACUAAAAUAUUCCAGCAGCACGAGUAGGUGCUUUCAUUCUGAAGCUGCGGUAUCCAUUUGUUAUCUGGCAGGAGCAUUUGUUUUAAUUAUGUUAUACUACUAACAUCAUGGUAUACUGUGUAAUAACGCUCAUUUUGCUUCCGGUCUUCAUUAUUAGUCAUUAUUUAUUCAUAGCAGUGCUCCUAGUCCUAGUGUUCUUUAGAUCUGUCUGGUGUAUUGUUAUUCAAUUAACUAUUUGUCUCUCGAUUGUUAAUAUUGUACCUGCAUCGAUAAAUCGUACUAUCUUUUACAUUUCCAUCCGCAAAAUUAGCACUUAUAGCUCCCCCGCCACUACAUCUACAUUCUGGAGCUUCUUUUUGAUGAAGUACAAGGGAUUGCUUCAUUUCAACAUUUAAAGAAGUCUGUCUCAACUGUACUGCAUUGUUCCCUAUCAUGUCUAGUAAAACCCUUCUCCCAGAAGUUUCUGCUUAUCGUGUGCUGUGCCUGAAAGAUCAUAUGGUUCAGCAGUUUGUCCAUGGGUACCAAAUAUCUAUUAUCCUAUAUCAUAGCCAGGAUUCAUCUUUCAUGUGUUCCACCUUGCAUGCCAUGUUGUGUAACUCGCCCUUAUUGGUCAUGGUUAAAAUGGUGCUAAAUGUGCAACACUAAAACAAUGCUUGCUUCUGGAAUGUGCACAUGCCUGCUACCAGGGGUGGAGCCAGAAUCAGCUCAAAGGGGGUGCUGAGACUCUAUAAUUGAACUAAGUUCAUGUUUUAUGUUCAAAGUUUUAAGAUAAAACAGUUAAUAUUAAAUGGACUAGCAUGUGCUGAGGGGGUGCUGCAGCACCCCCAGCACCCCGUGCAGCUCCACCCCUGCCUGCUACAUAUUUUUCCUUUUCGCUUAAGAUUUAUUAAUUUUUAUCAGAACCAAUAUGACUUCAAUUGAACACAUCACACCAUCUAAGGAGCCAAAUAAUCUUUGUAGUUAACUUCUUUGAGGGGAAAAUGUUAACACACCAUUGCUCAGUUGUCUCAUUUCCAUAAUUCAAGCACACGUUGCAUGUUGCCUCACCCUUGCUGAACAGAAUUUCUUGGUCAUUAUUGCCAAAAUGAUACAAAAAUUUGCACCAAUGAAGCAAUAUUUUCUUUCGGUACAUGAACAUGCUUGCUAUGUAAUCCUUGCUUUUGCUGUUUAGGUUUCUGUUAGUACAUAGACAUGUUUGCUAUAGAAUUCUUGCCUUUUCUUAUCAUCUAUAAUCAUUGUUUUCACACCAAGGGAUUUUUUUAACUAAGAUGCACUCUUGUACAUGAAACAGAUCUGGGAGGAAUGCGGGUGAAACAAGUAGGGAUGGAUGUUUGGGGCCAUGCAAGCUAGAAGUUCUAGGGGUGAACGCUGAACCGCAGCCAACCGCAACCUAAGUCUAAACUUGGAAGCAAAGCACAAAGGGUACUACUUAGCAUGGUGAUCGCUAAAUUGGUGUGCAAGUUGAAACAAAGCCCUUCACACCUCACCCGUGGUGUGAUGUCUAUGAGGUGUUGCAUUAUUGAUGGACCUGUAUUACAUUAGCUUGCAUCGUGUCAACUAUGUUUGCGGACUAUAUUUGUU
rnacentral:lncRNA from 1 species